rnacentral:pre_miRNA from 1 species
CACAUACUCCCUCCGCCCGGAAAUACUUGUCGUAGAAAUGAAUACAAAUGGAUGUAUCUAGAAUUAAAAUACAUCUAGAUACAUCCAUUCCUCGGACAAGUAUUUCCGGACGGAGGGAGUAUAUA